GUGGUGAUUAAUGAAUGACAUAAAAGGUGAUUGGAUUGUUCUUGCAAUCACUCUGUAGUAAUUACUGACUAGUAUUCAGAAUGGACAAAUAUAUAGUGUGGGAUUCAACUAGUCCUUUGGAAGAUAACUUUCUGUGUAUAAACGUUGAUUGAAAGUGGGAUGUGACUGAAUGUUUGAGACUAAGAGCUUAUCAUUGGAGAAGAAAAAUGAACACUGCUUUGGGUCUUUAUGGAGAUCUCUAUGGACCAGAUGUAUAUGUGUCUUCUGAAGACCUGCCUGCUCUCCCCAGAGGCUGCUGCAGGCUGCUGGGUGCCAAGUGGCCAUGGCCCUUACCUUCUGGCUCAGGCAUGCUUCCUGUGGAAUGUCCAGUAUAUAUGGGAACAGUGUCCAGUAGCCACUGGUUUAAGUUUCCAGCAUCACAAAAUGGAAGGAGUUUGUGUUCCUUGGAAGAGAGCCUCUGAGGACAUUGGCCAGACUUGCCCUGGACAUGAGGGAGGAAUAACCCUACGUGUGAAUCACUGAGAUCAUCGUUACAACAUCCGCAGUGGGUGUGAAUAUUGUUCUCAAAGUGGUGUAAUGCAUCUGUCUCUGGAGAAUUCUUGUAACGAACAAGCAGAAAUUUGAGGCACCGCAGGCAAAGUGGGUUGAACGGCUGGCCACCUUCCAUUGUGUCUUGGGAAAGUCAACCGAAGUCCCCUGGAGUAAGAUUACAAGCAAAUAAAUAACUUUGUGUGGAAUUUCUAUGAAGAGAAGUAUGUGUGUGUGUGUGUGUGUGUGUGUGUGUGUGUGUGCCUAAAUGGCUUGACUAUAAGUAACCAGUUGAAUUUAUUUUAAACAAUAUCCUUCAAAGUAACUAUUAUAGAUCAGCACAGCAUUUUAAAUUUUUUAUUUUUAAAUUUAAGAACAGUGAAACUUACUUUUUGGGGUGUAGAGUUCUAUAGUUUUGACAAACUCAUAGUUGUGUAAACACUACCAAAAUAAAGAUACAGAGCAGUUCCAUCAACACUCCUUUGGGCCAUUUCUUUGUAGUUAAACCUUUCAUCCCAAACCCUGAAAAUCUUAAAUAUAUGAUUAUCUAUAUGAUUAGCUUCUACAAUGACUAGAACGAUGACCUGGAAUCAUAUUUUAAAUAUAUAUAAAUGUUUAUAUACAAAACAAAAUAAGUAAAACAAUAUCACCUGCACAUUUUAAAGUAAGGUUUUAUGUAUAAGAUUUCAUAUGUAAAUAACAAGAAAGCCAACUUUUCUUGGUCAAGAAAUGUUUACUUUGCUCAGUACAUUCAUUGAGUCGAGGGACAGGAACCAAGCCCACUAUUGUACCAACUUGAAUAAAAGUGCUUAUGACAUGUGCAUUGGAUUGAACAUCAACCCACCAAUUUGUACUUAUAAUUUUAAAAGCUCAUUCAUUACAGCUAUACCUAAAGAUGGGACACUUAGUGUUACAACUGUGCCUUAAAAACAGCCAAGAAAGAGAGGUGAGGUAACGAGGGAGAGGUGAAAGAUUGUGUGUGUGUGUGUGUGUGUGUGCCCAAGCUGGCCCUCUAGAUUAAUGAUAGAAAUUGACUUGUUUUUGUACAUGGACAAUACUAGAUAUGUAUAUGACUAAAUGACUGAAAGCUGAUGAUCUUAAGGAGAGAACUAUUAGAAAAAUUAUUAAUUCAGAUUUUAGACUUAUGUUUGCAAGGGUGAUCUUUGUUUACUUCAAUGAGACACCAGGAUUUAUAUGAAAAUACUGACUAAGGUUGGAUUCUUAU